UGCACAGCGUUGACCACAAGCAAUCAAAUAAUAUACAUAGAAGAGAAGAAACAAGAGAAUUUGUUAACGGAGUUCGGCCAAUUGUGCCUACGUCCCCGGGAGCGCUGAACAACUACCAAUAUAUUAUUAGAGAAUAAAGAUUACAAACCCUAGCACACCCAUAGGCCUACCCAUGGGGUGUUCCUAUUUGGUGCUUAUAUCUGGUGCACAUUACAACAAGGGACAUGAGUCCAAUAUAUAACAUUGAUACUCUACUCUAUUCUAAUAUUAGGCAAUGUGGAACUUCAUAUAAUAAUAUAUUUCAAACAAUCCCAACAAUCUCCACCUUGAUUGAAAUAGACAAAUAUCUCGCUCCUUAGGAAAUCUACACAAGAAUCUUCACCUAAGCGAAUAUAUGACUCCACCUUGUUUAAUGUCUAAUUCUCUUUAACUGCUCCCCUACCGCAUAGACCUUAUGAGUAUUUUGACGAUUUUAUCAAGAGCUUAGCUCUCCAAACUUGUAGUGCAGUUUCUCGUACCGCUAUCAAAUGGAACACGCCACCUAACCACUUAUUGCUAGGAAGUUUUUCGAUAUAUUGGAACCUCUACACAAAAGUUCACCAACAAUCGUACUCUUCAAUACUCAGUCAAACUGAACCUUUGAGCUUCCUUGGAAAGCCUCAACCGCUGCUACCAUUGUCUACUUCGACAAUCCUAGUUCAAAAGAACUAUCAUACUCCACCAUAAGGAGUAUAUCCACAGCACACCUUGCGUCAAUGCUAACUAAUGUUUGUGUCACAUCCUUGCAUCCAAGCCAAUGCCCACGUCACACCCUGCAUCUCUACCAAUGCUCGUGUUACAACUUGCAUCAAAGUCAAUGCUCAUGUUACAACCUACAUCAAAGUUAGUGAGCGCCUCUGUGCUUUUGUGAAUCUGCUAACAAUUAAUAUCCUUCACUAUGACGUCUUAGACACGCCAUUAUGAUAUUCUACUUGUCAUCUCAAAUGAGAACAUUUCCUCAUCAUCUAGAAAUAUAUUGUCAGCAUCUGUCUCUGGGUCAAACUCAACACAUAAGUCCUUAUCUCCACCUUGAUCCUAACCCAAUACAUGAACUUAUGGGUUCUGGAUCAACACACAUACAUCGCUCACACCACAGUUCUGUCAUGUUUCAUUCUCCUUAAACUCAUCUACUCUAUCUUUGUCAUUACUUUUGAUGCACCUUGUCUACCAUCACGCAUUCACCCUCUUUAGACAUUCUCUAACGUCUGGGUUAAGAGUCAUCUAUCAAUUGGCUCUGAUACCAAUUGUUGGUGCAACGGAAGCGGUCGUUGCGCAACGUUGGCCACAAACAAUCAAAUAAUGUAGAUAGAAUAAAUAGAAGAGAAGAAACAAGAGAGUUUGUUAACGGAGUUCGGCCCAUUGUGUAUACGUCCCCGGGAGUGCUGAGCGGCUACCAAUAUAUUAUUAGAGAAUAAAGAUUACAAACCCUAACACACUCAUGGGCCUACGUGCCCAUGGGGUGUUCCUAUUUGAUGCUUAUAUCUGAUGCACAUUACAACAAGGGACAUGAGUUCGAUAUAUAACAUUGAUACUCUACUCUAUUCUAAUACUAGACAAUGUAGGACUUGAUAUAAUAAUAUAUUUCAAACAAUCCCAAUAGAUCAUCCCACCGUAGCUUGGUUAUUCAAGUAAUGCUAAAUUAUUAUUACUUGUUAAAACAUGAAACCUUAGAACAUUUUGUAAGGAGACAUGAGAAACACAAGUUAAAUGCUGUUGAAAAUCAAGAAACAAAAAGAUAGAAAUUUAUGUAUAAUAGUCUUUUCAUCAUUAAUGGAGCUUGUCUCCUGGGGAGAAAAUCAAUUUAUGUAUUUAGCCCUUUCAUUGUAAAUGUUGAUUUUCACUACAGUUUCCUUAUGUGAUUUUCAGUUUUAACUUCAGCAAAUAAUGGAGUCAAUUUCUUGGUGAGAGAAUCAAUUAUUUGCCUUUUUUUUCUUAUCUCACGUUUUCCCUAUUUAUUGAUUGUCAUUCAUAUAUAGACACUUAUAUGAAGACCUAUGUCGACAACUAAAAGAAGGAUGUUGUACAUGUGAAGAGAGAAGUUUUUGUCUCAUACAGCACCAUUUGUUGAAGAGUUAUUUUUCAUUUUUCAUUUUUCAUGCAGAGUAUUUUUCCACUCAAGGCUUGUCGGGCCUGUCCAAAACCACAUGCAAUGUCUGUAUAUUUUUCUCUCUCUUCUCUCUAUUAUUUCCUUUUCAUCCUUAUUUACAUUUCAAUAGUUACUGCUUCAUGUGAUCUAAGCCCCUCCUUCCUCGGGUUUCUAUAGGUCAUCUCCAAAACAAGUCAAAAUCAUCUGGACAUAAGUAGAAAAUCUGUUGGGCCCCUAGUCCCUACAUCGAGCACGUCCCAAAGAAAUCAUAUAUGAAACUUAAUUCAAAAUCACUUCCUAUCCUACAUUAAGUCAGGCAACAAACAAUUCAUUUCAUAAUCCAAAUUUGCCCUCAAUGAAACCACAUUAUAAAAAGUAAAGGUGAGAAGUUGAUCCUACCCGCUCCUAAAGUAUGGGUUAUGGUUCAAAAAAUUAGUAUUGAUAAAUAUUUAGCGUUUGGUAAGGCUUAUUCAUUAUUGAAUCUUAUUUGCUUAUUUUUUGAAUCCCUAUCCAACUCUAUACUUACAAUGUUAACUGAACCAGCUUUUAAACCCAAACCUUUAUUCGAUUAAUCAUAAUGGAUAUGUCUUUUCAAUAAAAUGUUAUAUAUAUUUUGUUAAUCAUUUACAAAAAUAACGUGAAUAAGCAACACGGAAGCAGUAGCAAUGUCAAAGGAAGCAUCGAUUCCACGCUGAAGCUCAACAUCACCGGCAACCUUCAACUUUCAAUAAAACUUAGAAUUCAAUGAGGUGGUGUUACAGUUAUUACAGUUAGAGAAUGUAUUGUGUUAUACCUGAAAGUGCGGUUAGAGAGUGGGAGCACAUCUGGCGACGGAGCGGAUGAAUGACCUGGCAGCAACGGCGGACAUCGUUACGUCGGGACGGUGGAGGUGGCGAUCAAGGUUUUGGGUAUUUUUCUCUUCUCGGUUAGUGUAAGGGUUCUGGAGUUGGGCUUUUCUUUUUCAGGUUUGGGUUCGCAGUUGCUUCACAAAUUAGAC
rnacentral:lncRNA from 1 species